rnacentral:rRNA from 1 species
CCUACGGGAGGCAGCAGUGGGGAAUAUUGGACAAUGGGCGAAAGCCUGAUCCAGCAAUGCCGCGUGAGUGAUGAAGGCCUUAGGGUUGUAAAGCUCUUUUACCAGGGAUGAUAAUGACAGUACCUGGAGAAUAAGCUCCGGCUAACUCCGUGCCAGCAGCCGCGGUAAUACGGAGGGAGCUAGCGUUGUUCGGAAUCACUGGGCGUAAAGCGUGCGUAGGCGGUGACUCAAGUCAGAGGUGAAAGCCUGGAGCUCAACUCCAGAACUGCCUUUGAAACUAGGUCGCUAGAACAUCGGAGAGGUGAGUGGAAUUCCGAGUGUAGAGGUGAAAUUCGUAGAUAUUCGGAAGAACACCAGUGGCGAAGGCGGCUCACUGGACGAUUGUUGACGCUGAGGCACGAAAGCGUGGGGAGCAAACAGGAUUAGAUACCCUGGUAGUCCACGCCGUAAACGAUGAUAACUAGCUGCCGGGGCACUUGGUGUUUCGGUGGCGCAGCUAACGCAUUAAGUUAUCCGCCUGGGGAGUACGGUCGCAAGAUUAAAACUCAAAGGAAUUGACGG